rnacentral:tRNA from 1 species
GCUUCCUUGGCUCAGCUGGUAGAGCGACGCAUUCGUAAUGCGUAGGUCGCCGGUUCAAGUCCGGCAGGGAGCU